rnacentral:rRNA from 1 species
AUACGUAGGGAGCGAGCGUUGUCCGGAAUUACUGGGUGUAAAGGGAGCGUAGGCGGGACUGCAAGUCAGAUGUGAAAUACCGGGGCUUGACCCCGGAGCUGCAUUUGAAACUGUGGUUCUUGAGUGAAGUAGAGGCAAGCGGAAUUCCUGGUGUAGCGGUGAAAUGCGUAGAUAUCAGGAGGAACACCGGUGGCGAAGGCGGCUUGCUGGGCUUUUACUGACGCUGAGGCUCGAAAGCGUGGGUAGCAAACAGGAUUAGAUACCCUGGUAGUCCACGCUGUAAACGAUGAUUACUAGGUGUGGGGGGACUGACCCCUUCCGUGCCGCAGUUAACACAAUAAGUAAUCCACCUGGGGAGUACGGCCGCAAGGUUGAAACUCAAAGGAAUUGACGGGG